rnacentral:rRNA from 1 species
CAGUCGACGGGAAUCUUCGGAUUCUAGUGGCGGACGGGUGAGUAACGCGUAAGAAUCUAACUUCAGGACGGGGACAACAGUUGGAAACGACUGCUAAUACCCAAUAUGCCGCGAGGUGAAACCUAAUUGGCCUGAAGAAGAGCUUGCGUCUGAUUAGCUAGUUGGUGGGGUAAGAGCCUACCAAGGCGACGAUCAGUAGCUGGUCUGAGAGGAUGAGCAGCCACACUGGGACUGAGACACGGCCCAGACUCCUACGGGAGGCAGCAGUGGGGAAUUUUCCGCAAUGGGCGAAAGCCUGACGGAGCAACGCCGCGUGAGGGAGGAAGGUCUUUGGAUUGUAAACCUCUUUUCUCAAGGAAGAAGUUCUGACGGUACUUGAGGAAUCAGCCUCGGCUAACUCCGUGCCAGCAGCCGCGGUAAUACGGGGGAGGCAAGCGUUAUCCGGAAUUAUUGGGCGUAAAGCGUCCGCAGGUGGUCAGCCAAGUCUGCCGUCAAAUCAGGUUGCUUAACGACCUAAAGGCGGUGGAAACUGGCAGACUAGAGAGCAGUAGGGGUAGCAGGAAUUCCCAGUGUAGCGGUGAAAUGCGUAGAGAUUGGGAAGAACAUCGGUGGCGAAAGCGUGCUACUGGGCUGUAUCUGACACUCAGGGACGAAAGCUAGGGGAGCGAAAGGGAUUAGAUACCCCUGUAGUCCUAGCCGUAAACGAUGGAUACUAGGCGUGGCUUGUAUCAACCCGAGCCGUGCCGAAGCUAACGCGUUAAGUAUCCCGCCUGGGGAGUACGCACGCAAGUGUGAAACUCAAAGGAAUUGACGG